AAUUCCCUCCAUAAUAAUUCAUAUGAGUCCACCAAAAUAAAACAUUUUUCUCUUUUCUCAAUAAAAAAUAUCUAUAAACCAAAACCCAUUUCUCUUUCUCUUUCUCUUUCUCAAUUGCAGCUUUCUCUCUCUCUUUCUUUCUAAGGUGAACCAAAACCCAUUUCUCACAUAGAUUAGCGAUAGCUGGUACUAGGUCAUAGUCAGUUGAUUCGAGUUCUUAGCUAUGCAAAUAUAUUUAGUUUUAGUAUGAAAAUAGCAUCUGAGAGCAGAUAAAUUGAAAAUCCAUUUCUUAGGUAAAUCAAAAAUCGAGUAUUGCAGCUUUCUUAGGUGAAUUGAAAACCCUUUCUCAGAUAAUUAAUUUUUGAAGCAUCUGUGAAUUAAGCAUUAUUCAUGAGGGCAAAUUGAUUUUGGAAGCGUCUGUUAUAGAGAAAUUGAAUCUUGGAGGUGAAUUUGGUGAGGAGAAGGAAAUUGGAAAUCGAUUGAAGAAGAAGCUCGUUAAGGAAGGUGAAGGUUGGGACACACUUAAAGAUGGUGAUGAAGUUGAUUAAAGGUAAUUGAUUUACAUAUUAUUAUUGUUAUUAUUAUUUAAACUGCCAAUUAACCUGAACUUUGAUUAUGUUUAUUUGUUGAUUUUGCUCGCAAUGGUAUCUAGAUUACUGUCCCGGUUGCAAAAUAGUUGUGACUUUUACUUUUCGAGAGUUAAUUAGGCUAUUUUUUAAAGCUAAAUAUAUUAUAUUGAUUUGAUAUUUUAAAAUUAAAAUUUAUGUAAUAAAAAUUAGAUAGAGAGUACUAUAAACUAGAGUUUUCUCCAAUUUCCUGGGGAAUUUUGGGGGGGUGUAAUAGAGUAACUCUAAAUCGGUGAGUAGUGUAUGUGGUUGUUGAUCUCGAUCUAAAUUUGGUAGUUUGGAACUUACCCUGAUCAGAGAUUGUGAGGCCAGGCCUCAAAGCCAUAUAACUUAGUUAUAUCCAGUCAUAAAAGUGGAGAGGUCAAACUGAUGCAUUUAUUGACUGAGAUCUCCCUUAUCUUAGACAGUGAUACUGUGAUGUUAUUAACGGCGCUGCAUAGAGUCAUGGAUAAAGUUGUAACUCCUAUAUUUCCCAGAAAUAUGGUUUCAGAGUAGUUGAUAAGCUAGGACUUGUUAGGUGUAAAAGUCCUCCCUUUUCUAUUUCCUUAAGAACCCUGGGAUUGUGGAGCAUCAUUUAGGAGUGUUUUCUUUAUCUUCCUGAAUGUUUCUAAUAUUUGUAAGCUUGUUCAAGAUUUUUCUUGUCAUGUAUUUUGGUGAUAUAAUCAAGAAGGAAAUCUCAGUUAACUAUAGUAGUUGGCAAAUGUAAUAUUUUCCACGAAUGGCCGGCUUGGUGAUGGGAUAAGUGUUGUAGGUAUAAUUGUGUUUAUUUUUACUUUUUGUUUGGUUUUAUAAUGUUUACGGUCUGUUUCACUGUAAGCUGAUGCCAAGAAUAGGUUUCUGUCAUCUUUUUCAAUUUCAUUAAAAAACUAAAUCUUUAUGGUGCCAUGUAUACCUAUUGUACAUAGGUUAAUGUCCCUGUUAGGUUUGCUUUUUGAUGGAUGUCAUUUACUGAUAUUUGUCUUUCCAUUAACUUAUAGAUAAAAGAAUAUUUUCUCUCCUUAAUAGUUCAUAUGUAUACAUGGUAUCUAAAUGCGCUUAUUCAACAGAUUACUAAAAGCAGUUUGGGAAAGAAUAUUAUCCUGAAUAGCUGUUAUACCUACAUGUGUUGUGUUUAUGAUGCAAUUGAUUGUGAUGACAUGAAACUAUCCUAGUAACUAGGUAGAGCAGAAGUCUUGUGGUUUUACCAUUAAUGUGCUUGGUUGCAAAUGGUUUGUAUUAGGAUCUUUUUCAACCAACAUCCAACCUUUUGGCCAUUUCUAUUCAAGGAUUGAGAGAGAGAAUUCAUGAAAAGUUUGUGCAUUUUUGAACUGCUUGCCCAUGCUAAUGUAGUUUCCUAUAGAAUAUUCCAGUUUUUAUGCAUUGAUUGCAUACUUCAGUUCCUUCAUAUGUCAAUUUCUAAUAAGUUAUGUGGUGACUUUAGCUAUUUAAAAGUGGCAUUCUCAUAAAAAGCUAUUCCAUGGAGAAUCAAAACAUUUUUGUUAACCAAGAGUUUCCUGAUGUCAAGGCCUUCUGUUGUGCAAUUAAAGAGGCUGCUAUUGCACCACAUUUUAAGCUUCGUAUUGUAAAAAGUGAUCUGAUUUACUACAUUGCUAAAUGUAACUCAGAAGGUUGUCCGUGGUGUAUUCGUGCAAUUAAGUUUCCCAAUGCUCCCACCUUUACUAUAUGAAUCCUUGAGGGAGCACAUACCUGUGGGGGAACUACACAAAAUAGACAUCAUCAGGCUUCUGUUGUUGGAUAGUGAACUUCAUAGAGGAGCAUUUGCAUGAUAACAUAAAUUACAAGCCAAACGGUAUUUCGCAUGAUAUCUAUAAGCAGUAUGGUGCAACUAUACCAUACAAGCAAACUCGGUGAGCCAAGAAAAUAGGGAUGCAAGUUAUAUAUGGAUCUUCCAAAUAUAUUGUGAGCAAAUCAAGAAGACAAAUCCUGGAAGUCAUGCUGAGGUUUUUAAAGCUGGUCCAAAUGGUCGCUUUAUGAGGUUCUUCAUUUCCUUUUACGCUUCUCUUCAUAUGUUCCAGAAUGGUUGCUUGCUUGUUAUUUGUCUUGGUGGUAUCCAUCUUAAGAGAAAAUACUUAGAUACUUUACUCUCAGCGAGUUCUUUUGAUACAGAUGGUAGAGUGUUUUCGCUUGCUUUUGGUGUUAUCAAUGAAGAAAAUGAUGAUAGAUGGAUGUGGUUCUUGUUAGAGUUUUGCAAAGCUCUAGACAUGAGCACCGAGAAGAUACCGAUUACAGGUAAGUAGAUUGAUGUGACAACUUUGAUAACUGCAAGCCCGAACACAUCUUCUGGUUUGUCUUUUGGAAGGCAAAGGGUAAAGGAUCCUGGAGCGGUGUUUAUUGCUGGUGCCACUGGACAAGUUGGUAUCCGCAUUGCUCAGAUACUGCUGUGUGAAGGUUAUAGUGAAAGAGCUGGAGUUUCUAACCUUGGUGCAGCACAAAAACUAGCUUGUCUCUCCAUUAGCAACAAGAUAAAAAGGAGUUUCCAUCAUGCAAUAGUUGUUGGACGACAGUUUCCAAUAUGUAGAGUACACGUCAACGGUUUUACUGUGGAGCAAAGCAAACCAGAAAAAGAGAGAAACAUUUUGUUCCUAAAAUGACAAAGGAAUUUCAUCAGAAGGAUUUCAUUAUCUGGAAGGAUUCAAUGCACCGAUACUCCACUGUUAACAAGUAUCUCUUUACUCUUUGUUCCUGUUAGAAAAUGAAGCUAACUCUAAUUUCUAUUAUGUAAAUUAUUCGCUGGGAAAGGGAGGAUCUAGAAGGCUUUGUAGGCUAUUGUUCUACUGCUGGACUAUGUUUGUUUUGGUUUUAAAUGUCUGGUCUCCUUCCUCUUACUACCACUAACUCAAAAUGAAUAUCUAUGUAGGCAGCCAAAGACCAAAGAAAGGGCCAAAUUGUUGUUUUAAACACACAUUUUUACGUUUUUUGUGUAAUUAUGUUGAUCUAUGCUAAAAAAUAAUGGAAAAGUUAAUAAUUGCAGAUCUAUAGGAGAUAGAUGGCAAUGGUCUUGACAGAAAAAUGGAGGAACGCAGUGCGACAUAAAGGUGGCGGUCAUCUAGAGUUAGGUUCUAUGAUGUGCACUGCGCUGCUUCCAUACUUGAUUUCCCCAUGUUGUGGUCCUCAAUUAAUAUCUAGAAACCUAAUAUGGUACUUAUUUUCAAUGUUGAAUCAUACCCUUCAUUAGUAACAGAAUAAAAGCGAGAAGUUUACUAGUACAUCAAUAAAACUUAGCAUACAGAGAGGUCAGUUGUCUACUUAUAGACUAUAUUUUAGUAACUUUUGCCUUUUGAUUUUUCAAAGGCUCACCACCAGCAUUCUCUAUUUUAUUCUUAAGUUUCGAAGCCUGAAGUGGCAUACAGGAUUUAAAAUAGCUUUUGCAACUAUCUGUGCAUGAAACUAAUCAUAGAAUGGUCUUGAAAAAAAGGAUAAACUGAUAGCUAGCCAUGUUAUCACCUUCUCUUUAAGCUGUUUUGAACCUUGUGUAAGCCUGUCCAUUUCUUUUUCUCCAGCAGUAAUUAUUAUCUUCAGUUGCUUCAAUCUAUUAACUUCAUACUUACGGGGUUCUGUAAAAGCUAGGGGGAAUAGUUCUAUAAAUAAGAAUCCUAGAUUCCAUAUGUUUAUGGAAUCCUAUACUUGUAUUCAGGUGUAGUGUAGUAAUGGUAUUAUUUAUUGUAAAUGCCAUUGAUUAGAAGUUGGAUGAAAUUAUUCCUCUAAUUUCUUUUAUCGGGUUAAACAAUCAUGCACAAGCUGUUCUGCUGGGAUGUGGUUUUCUUGGACAUGAUUCUGUAGGUACUUUAUUUGGAUGUUGAAAUCAUGGAAAACAUGUAAGGUCGGGGAGACAUCCACAAGUUAUUCUAACUGAUCAGUCAAAACCAUUGCAAAUGUAGUUUCUAAGGUUUUCCGUUAAACUUGUCAUUGUCAUAGUUUGUGAUGUAUCUUGCAGCGUGUUCUUGAGAACUUGAGAGGACUGAAGGGCUAUGGGCCACAUUUAGAAACCCAUUUGAGAAUAUCAACUCUCAUACUAGGCCAAUAGACAACCGUUUUGACCUUAUAUGUACCUUGUGGCCCUGAAUAACCUCCAAGAGGGGAUUGAUGCAUAACUUCAAAGAUCUUCAUUCUCAAAGUGGUGUAUUUUCCCACAAACAACUUAAUUUUAUACCUGAGAAUGCCUUGAUGUAGGGUAUAAUCAUGUCUGAAGUGCAGGAUCAGUGAUCUCAAUAAUGAUUAGUUGUUGAGCCAAAGAGGCAUGUUCAUAAUUGUCACUAAUUGUCACAUAUUGAAUUUUACUUGUGCAAAUUUUCUUGAAAUGCUGUGUUUUAUGUUUUGUAAAUAGAAAUAUGUUGUCAUUUUAGUGUUAAUUAUAUUAUUUGCUCUCUUUUUAUAGUUGUCCAAAAUGAAUAAAGAGAUGAAGAAAGUGAUGAAGACAUUGACCGACCUUACUUGAUAAGAUAUUAGGUUGCUGAUAAAUGCUCUAAUAUCAAUAGUUUUGUAUUGAAUUUCUUGAAACCUAUCGUAGCUCGAACUUGCUACUGUAAAAAAAUUAACUAAUCAUUUGGACUUAAGUAACAUUUUGCUUUUGGGUUUAAAUUAGUAGCAUGUUGCAAAUUGUAGAUUAUGAGAUUAUUAAUGAAUGAUUUUGUUUUGUGAUGUUCA